CUUAUCGCCCAUUGGAACACUCCUUCCUAAUGCCCAUAGUUAAUGCAGAGCUUCUUCGCCUGGCUGCCGGCUCCUUGCACAUAUUCAUUCGAAUUGCGGUAACACAGUACGUUAACCAUUCCACUAUUGCUUUACAUGGAAAUCAUCAUUUCUCAGAUGCAACUUUACUUGUGUGCAUUUUGCUUGAAACGAAAAGACUCUGCACUGCUUUGGUAUUUAAAUUAUUUACUCAGUUAGCUGCAAACUAUAUGCAAUGACUACAUACGCAGACAUGACAUGACACGAUUGCCGAUUGCAACUUAACAAAAAUUGCAUACUCAAAACUUGCGUCUAAUUUUUAUGAUGUAAAAUGUAUUUUAAUAUUUUACAAAAACAAAAGUUACGUGGAAUGGAAUUAUGUGAAACUCUAACGAAGAUUUUAGAAUAUUUUCUUUUGAACAAGAUUAAACAUUUGUUUUUAAGACAAAUUCAUUUCAUUUAUGCAUUUUUCCAAUGAUGUACUUCUUCUGGUGUACUUCCGCAUCCGUCCUCCUCACUAAUAAUAAUUCGGUGGCGGCGGGGUGCGGUGGUGGGGUCGUGCUCAGUGCGUGCAUGCGUACAUAUGUAGAUAUGCACAUAUAUAGUGAAAGUGCAGUGGCAGCACUUAUACGAACAUCUCCCCCGGAACAACGCGCACUCUUUGUGAAACUAUCUUUGGCCUAGACCAUUUUGCUCACAAAAAGCGAGGGUGGUAAACCAUGAACAGACUGCGUAUGCAUAUAUACUACUUAUUAUUGGUAGAUGAUGAGAAUUGCCGUGAAAGUGCAUUGGCUUGAGAUGUGACCAAAUAAGGCAAGAUCCCGGAAAGAAAGCGCUGUUCAAUGAAGGUUAAUUCACGUGUACGAGUACAUAUGAACACAUUUUAAGGACUUUGAGAGCACCUACAACUAUUUGAGAUUGUUAAUUGACUUAAAUUUGAUGGAACUUUUUCAUCUCCCAAAAAGGAAACUGAUGCUGCUGCUGUUGGGUUCAAAUUCGGAGACGCUCCUAUUACCGAACUUCAUUUGGUCUGCAGUUGCCUGUUGCAUGCAAAUUCUUGCUCCACUACAGAAACCCAAAAAUGGAGUCUCGUUCCAAAAUAGAACGUUCUGCUGUUGUGCUUCUAUCGGAGAUCAAAUUGCAUAUUUUAUUUUAUUCCCACUUUUGAUUAGAGUUUUUUCUCAGAUGUUA